rnacentral:rRNA from 1 species
GGAGGUAGUGACAAUAAAUCACAAUGCGGGACUAUUUAGUUUUGCAAUUGGAUUGAGAACAAUGUACAAGAGUUAUCGAUAAACAAUUGGAGGGCAAGUCUGGUGCCAGCAGCCGCGGUAAUUCCAGCUCCAAUAGCGUAUAUUAACGUUGUUGCAGUUAAAAAGCUCGUAGUUGAAGUGUGGGGUGAAAGGUUUGUUUUGCUUUUGCAAGAUGUUCUGCUCACCCCCUCUCCAAUGUGUUAUUAUGGGUAUUAAUUUACUUGUAAUAGCUAUUGGUCAUUUACUGUGAGAAAAUUAGAGUGUUCAAAGCAGGCAUUUGCUUGAAUAUAUUAGCAUGGAAUAAUAGUAAAAGGCUUUUAUGGUCGAUUUAAUUGGUUUGUUCAUGAAAGCAAGAUUAACAGGGACAGUUGGGGGUAUUCAUAUUCAAUAGUUAGAGGUGAAAUUCUCGGAUUUAUGGAAGAUGAACAAGUGCGAAAGCA